GCCCAGCCCCGGCUGCGUCCGCGUGCUCCUGAGAGACCCCGGGCUCUCCUCCGUCCGCGAUCGAGCCCCCUCGGUGCGGAGGUUCCUCCCAGCGCGGGGCGCCUCGCGGGGCUCCCCCGCCUCCCUGAGCCUUCCCGCCUCCACCUGGAGCCGGAGGCCCGAGGAAGGCUGCUACCAGAACCACAGACACAGGACCAACAAAUCGAGUAAAGGAGAUCUUUACACCCACCGACAGCGCCGGAGUAACUGGUGUGCAGGGGCACAGGCAGAAGAGAAUCUCCUCACUGAGUGGCUAGGUGUUAAGUUUGGGAUUGCUCUGGGUGUGAAACUCCAGGAAACCUUCGGACUGCUAAGAACUACAGAUUGUGCUGGCUGUGCAUUUUAUUGCAGUUAUCAGACCUUGAAAAACUGAAGUAUCGCAGUCACUGAAGAGUGUAGGCCCUGGAUCUGGACCAGGUGGGCUAGAAUCUCAACUCCACCGUUUCCGAGCUGUGUGACCUUGGGCAGGUCAUUAACCCCCAACUUUCCGGACUGCAUGGAACACACUUCAAACUUCCAGGGAUUGGUUUCCAAAUAAUAGCACGGACAAGGAGAUGCCUAAGAUCUACUUCUAUGUAAUUACCUGAUCCCAGAUAAUCUGAAUUGGGGAGUUUUGUUUUCUUGGCCACAAUAUUACCACCAUCCAUUAUGCAACUAGUUCAAAUCCCAAGUGUUUGGAUAAUUCAGUAUGAAAACUAUUUUUUAAAACACUUAAUGCUGUUUCUUAUCCUAAUAAAAUAUUUACUUAAGAUGAUAAAACCAUCUACAAAAGUGUUCUUUGUGUUUCUAAAAGGACUAUGUAAAACUUCCGUUAAGC